rnacentral:rRNA from 1 species
UACAGAGGGUGCAAGCGUUACUCGGAAUUACUGGGCGUAAAGCGUGCGUAGGUGGUUCGUUAAGUCCGAUGUGAAAGCCCUGGGCUCAACCUGGGAAUGGCAUUGGAUACUGGCGAGCUAGAGUGCGGUAGAGGGGUGCGGAAUUCCCGGUGUAGCAGUGAAAUGCGUAGAUAUCGGGAGGAACAUCCGUGGCGAAGGCGGCACCCUGGACCAGCACUGACACUGAGGCACGAAAGCGUGGGGAGCAAACGGG